rnacentral:lncRNA from 1 species
UAUAGAAUAGAAAGAUGCAACCCAGAUAAAUGCAAUGCUCAUUAGAAUGAAACAUUCUCCGUUUAGUUUUCUUUCAUGGAAGCUCAGACGAAAAAAAAAGAAUCGAUCGUUUGAGUAUUUCACCAAAUUGCAAACAAAAAUGAGAAUAAGAGGAAUAUACAUAUAUGUUAUGUAGUAUAUAUCCAUCUAUAUUGAAUUGCGAAUACAGAAAUGAUAGAAUCAUUUCUGAUUAGACCAAAUAAAAUAUGGGUCUCCAAAAUACCAAUAGACAUGAAAGAUGAUAGACAAAAAAUGAAACACUUUUCAAUAUAAGAAUCGGUAUCUAUAUCUAAUGAAUUCAAGGGUUUCGGCAUAAUAAAAGAAAAAGGGGGAAGGGCAUCAUAAUGAGAUGAGAUCCCAAUCUCAAAGCAAAACAAAAAAAGGGGGGAUAUGGCGAAAUCGGUAGACGCUACGGACUUAAUUGGAUUGAGCCUUGGUAUGGAAACCUACUAAGUGAUAACUUUCAAAUUCAGAGAAACCCUGGAAUUAAAAAUGGGCAAUCCUGAGCCAAAUCCUGUUUUACGAGAACAAACAAAACAAGAGUUCAGAAAGCGAGAAAAGGGGGAUAGGUGCAGAGACUCAAUGGAAGCUGUUCUAACAAAUGGAGUUCAUUACCUUGUGUUGGUAAAGGAAUCCUUCUAUCGAACCUCCAGAAAAGAUGAAGGGAUAACCUUAUCUAAAUAGGUAUAAGUAAUUUAAAACUAUCUCAAAAAUGGUGACCCGAAUAUGGAUUUUUUUUUUUUUUUAUAUGAAAAAAAAAGAAUUGUUUUGUUGUGAAUCAAUUCAAAGUUGAAGAAAAAAUCGAAUAUUCAUUGAUCAAACCAUUCACUCCAUAGUCUGAUAGAUCUUUUCAAGAACUGAUUAAUCGGACGAGAAUAAAGAUAGAGUCCCAUUCUACAUGUCAAUAGCGACAACAAUGAAAUUUAUAGUAAGAUGAAAAUCCGUCGACUUAAAAAAGUCGUGAGGGUUCAAGUCCCUCUAUCCCCAAAAAAGUCUGUUUGACGCCCUACCUAUUUAUCUUUAUCCUACCCUCUCUUUUUCUUUUUUUUUAGUUAUUCAAAAUUCAUUAUCUUUUUCAUUCAUCCUAUUACAAACGUAUCCAAGCAGAAUUUUUUCUAUUAUUACUUAUUACAAGUCUUGUGGUAUAUAUGAUACACGUACAAAUGAACAUCUUUGAGCAAGAAAUACCCGAUUUACAAUCCAUAUCAUUAUUCAUACUGAAACUUACAAAAUCUUCUUUUUGAAGAUCCAAGAAAUUCCCGCCUCCAGACUUUCAAUUUAAUACUUUUUUUGUUUUAAUUGACAUAGACCCAAGUCAUCUAGUAAAAUGAGGAUGAUACUUCGGGAAUGGUCGGGAUAGCUCAGUUGGUAGAGCAGAGGACUGAAAAUCCUCGUGUCACCAGUUCAAAUCUGGUUCCUGACAUAAGAUGAAUUUGUAUGAGUCUCUAUUCUACAAAUUAUUUAAUUAUGGGUUGACCAUAAUACAUACUUAUUGAUCUAAGUGUCUGGAAAUACACCUUUUUUAGAUUUUUCGAUGAGUAAAGAGUAUAUAAAGUAUGUAUAUGUAGUAAAAGAAAAAAUUCAAUUAUCCUUCCUCUUCUUUUCUUUUUUAUUUGUUCAUGCUGUGGUUCCUCUCGUUCAAAGAGAAUGUUAAUACUUCAUACAUAUUCGAAAGGUUAAAUUACUUGGUUGAAAGACUCAACAAAAAAAAGUCUAGAGUUCAAGGGUGGAAAUAUCCAAGAUAGAUUUCAGAUACAGUACAAAUGGAAUCCCAUCCCUUUUUAUUUAUUUCUUUUUCUUUCAUAUUCUAUUUAUUCAUUCCCUCUUAUAUGACCUUAUAGCUAGAGCCCGCUAAGUGAUGUGCGCGAUACAAAGUUCAUGGUGCAGAACUCGUUUAGUUCAUCCUAUUGGCUUGGCUUAUACGAAAUAAGUAUCUUUCCAAUUUGAGAAUCUCUUAGCCUUAGCCUAUCCAUAAUAACAUAAUAAAUAAUACGAAUGAGAUCUCAAUUACUCUGUUUGGUCUAUUUGAUCUAGAAGAGAAUAGAACGUACAAAUUUGAAUAUCUGUAGUAAAGACUACUUUCUUAUCAUUCAAUGAGCAUCUUGUAUUUCAUAAAAAUUGGGGGCAAUAUAAUCCUUACGUAAAGGCCACCCUAUCCAACUUUCGGGCAUUAAGAUACGUUUCAGUCGUGGAUGAUUAUCAUAAGAGAUUCCCAACAUAUCAUAAGAUUCCCGUUCUUGAAAAUCCGCACUUUUCCAAACCCAGAAAACAGAUGGAAUUCUAGGAUUGCUCCUUGGAGCAAAUACUUUUAUGCAUACUUCUUCCGGUUGAUCUACGCCAUAUUCUAUUCUCGUAAGAUGAUACACGCUGGCUAAGAGUCCGCCUGGUGCCACAUCAUAGGCGCAUUGGGAACGUAGAUAAUUGUAACCAUAUACAUAUAAAAUUACAGCAAUGGAAUGCCAAUCCUCGGGCUUUAUUUGUAAAGUCUCUAUUCCUUGGUAAUCGAAGCCCAAAGAUCUAUGAACCAGCCCGUGUUUGACUAGCCAAACAGACAAAUGGCCCUGCAUCUUUUUUAUUUCCCCCGCACUUUUUUUGUAUAAGAUAAGUAUUUCAUUUCACAUUUACGAUGAACUCCAAUUUAUGCAGAUUAAUUCGCUGUUUUCUUAUUCUGUAGGGUAGAGCCUAAUUUACUAAUUCGCGGGAAGAGACUGAACUUUUGUAUUUGAAAAAUGUUUCAGUAGGGAUCUCUGAAGUAGAUGAUGGUUGAUAGAGUAAUUCUUGAUCAUAAUUUCCAGUAUGCGUACUGCGUACAAAAAGGAACUUGUGAUUGGUAGUAAAACACCGAUUCCCCUGUUGAGAUCGAAUUCUAUCUUCAUAGAUUUCUCGAGAAAUUUUCUUACGAAGUUUUGUUAUAGCAUCUAUAACUGCCUCUGGUUUAGGUGGACAGCCCGGCAAAUAAACAUCCACAGGAAUUAGCUUAUCAACCCCUCGAACAGUACUAUAAGAAUCGGUACUAAACAUCCCUCCUGUAAUUGUACACGCUCCCAUAGCAAUAACAUACUUUGGUUCGGGCAUUUGUUCAUACAAUCUUACUAAAGAAGGAGCCAUUUUCAUUGUUACUGUGCCGGCUGUUAAAAUUAGGUCUGCCUGUCUAGGACUCGAUCUUGGUACCAGUCCAUAACGAUCAAAGUCAAAUCGUGAACCUAUUAAUGAGGCAAAUUCAAUGAAGCAACAACUGGUACCAUAAAGAAGCGGCCAUAAACUGGAAAGUCUUGACCAAUUUGAAAGAUCGUUUAAUGUAGUUGAAAUAACUGAAUUUUGGGUUGUUCGAUCAAGUAAGGGAAACUCAAUGGAAUUCAUAAUUGUCUCAAUGUUCUUAAUUUUUUUGACUUUUUUCUUUUUAUUGUUAUUGUCUGAAUAUUCAGGAACUAAGACCAUUCCAAUGCUCCUUUUCGCCACGCAUAAACUGAACCAACAAUUAGGAUAAGCACAAAAAUUAAAGCUUCUAUAAAAACGGAUACCCCCAAUACAUCGAAACUCAUUGCCCAUGGAUAAAGAAAAACUGUUUCAACAUCAAAAACAACAAAAACUAGAGCAAACAUAUAAUAACGAAUUCGAAAUUGUAACCAAGCAUCGCCCAUCGGUUCUAUACCCGAUUCAUAACUAGACAGUUUCUCUGGGCCUUUGUUAAUUGGAGCUAAAACUCCGGAAAUUAGAAAUGCCAAAAUAGGAAUAGCACUUGAUAUUAUUAGAAAUGCCCAGAAAAUAUCAUAUUCGUAAAGCAGAAACAUAGAGGAACUCCUAUGAAUGUGGAAAAUAUACCGGAUUAGUCGAUUCGAAUUGGAAUUGAUUGUCAAGUAAUACAUAACUGUUUUGUUUAGUCAAAACAAAAAUUGAGUUUGAUUGAAUCGUCUAGUUUCAUUUGUUUGCUAUGGUACAUGUCUCGUUUUAAGAUUUAUUGAUUUAAUCUCCUAUUUUCAUUACACUUAUUUUUCGAUAUAGGUCGAAAUAGUAUAAAUAAAUAUCGAUUUCCCUUAUACAAAACAAAUCAAACUUUCUCGCUUUCGCCUCCCUUCGUAUUUUUCUAAACAUAUCUUUCUAAAUAAAAAAAAAAUACAGUGGGAAUUCUAAACUAAAUAGAAUUCUCAUUUAAUUAUAAUAUGUAUUAGUCAUUUAAUUAUAAUAUGUAUUAGAGUAUUAUAAAUUCAAAAAUAUUAAAUAAAAAUUCGAAAUCUAUUCUAUUAUCUAUUUCUUAUUCUAUUUUUAAUAUUAUUUUCUAUUUUUAUGAUUAUUUAUUUAUAUUUUUAUAUAUUCUUUAUAUUUAUAUUUAUAUAAAAAAUGAAAAAAUAUUAUAUUAACAUAUUAUUAUGUUUUUUAUGUUUAUGAAAUUAUGUUUAUGUUUUAUGAAAAUAUCUUUGUUUUUCAAACUCUGACGUGUCAACAAAUGCAGUAAGGCCUUACUAGAACCAUGGGACUUACUAUUAGAUUAGAUUCGGGUUGAGUUAGGUUUGAGUUUUUAUCUUUAACCGGGUUCAUGUCAAAAUUUUGACUCCACAAAUUCACCAAGAUUCGGUGGGUAUACAAAAAAAGAAGUAUCACUAACUCUUUGAUUGUAGACAGUAAAAGAUGAAAAUUCAUAUAUAAUCAAUCCGCCUACGAAGAUUAAUGAAGAAAAAUGGGUUUGUUUAUCUGAGAUUAGAAAUCUAUAUAGUGAUUGGAUACGUUGAAAUGAAAUGAGCUUUUAUUUUAAGUUUUGCUCUGAACGAUCCCCAUACGAGCAGGCUUGUGUUAUGGGAAUUAUUUUAUUUCGAUGAACCAAGCGAGCGGAAGGGACCAGUUACAAACAAGAAAGAAUAUAAUAACAAUAAUGAGGAAAAACCUAUAAAAUUUUUUGUAUUUGAAUAUUCUUUAUUAUUUAUAUAUCUUUAUUUAUUUAUAUAUAAAUAAAUAAAGAUAGGUUUAGUUUAAUUAACUAUUAAUUAAAACUAUUAAUUAAUUAUUUAAUAUAGGAAUAUAGGAUAGGUAGGGCUAUACGGAUUCGAACCGUAGACCUUCUCGGUAAAAGAAAUCGAACUGAUUAUUAUCAAAAUGAUUCGAACUCUUUCAAAGACCCAACAUGCAUUUUUUUUGCAUUGGGCUUUUUCAUUAACUGAUAUAAAUCUCAGUUAGUCUACCAUAUUUUUUCUUAAGAAAAAAUAAGAAAAUGGCUCCACGUGCCCUGAUUCAUUAUUUGAAUUCUAAUACAAUACAGGAGCACUACCAAAGUGUUUCAAAGAAGGGUUAUCUUGACGUAGGUUUGCUUCUGGCCUAGAUCAACCUAAGUUAAAUGGAGUCUCUAUCAUCCUAAUUAAAAAAUCAAACAUGAAACUUCAUACACCUUAAGAUUCAUAGGACGAAAAGAGAAUUUUUGAGGUCCUUAUACUCAUUAUGCCUAGCAUUGAAUAGACUGGGUAUUCACCCUAUCAAUAUCUCAAAUCAAUGAUGGGUUCUAUUUGGCUCCUACCUAAAAGGGCACCAAAAUCGGACCGAACCCUUCCAUUUGUCAGGCUAUUGUUCUCUUGUUUUGGUCCCGAAAAGUCAUGGAGUAAGACAUCGAUUUCUCAAUAAGAUCAAUCAAUUCAUUUGAUUGCAUGAUGGACUCCUCUGAAAAACAUUGGCGCACGUGUAAACGAGGUGCUCUACCGACUGAGCUAUAGCCCUUAUGUUUCUUAUGUUUGUGAUACACAUUUUAUCUUAUCAUAUUAUGUAGAUAAUUUCUUGUCAAGAUGAAUAUUACAUGAUCCAACAUCGAUCUCUUUGAUUGAUAUUGCUUAUAAGUAAUAUUGGAUUUAUAAUCCAUCGAUGUGAUAGGUGUCCAUUUUUUUUGUUUCUCUUUAUGAUGAUAAAUGACCUACUUAACUCAGUGGUUAGAGUAUUGCUUUCAUACGGCGAGAGUCAUUGGUUCAAAUCCAAUAGUAGGUAGAACUUAUUAGAUACCAUUGAUUACGGUGUCUAAUAAGUUUUUCUACCCACCCUCUUUUUUUUUUCUUUUAUUGAUUUUUUAUCUUUUCCAUCCUAUUUUUUUUUAUAAAUUUUUUGUUAUAUCAGAAUCUCUUUCUUUUAUACAGAAGUUCUUUUGAUUAUUUGGCACCUAGUUACGAAAUCGCAUUGAUAGCCUCGACUCGUGUCCGAGCUCGUCUGAGAGCUAGAUUUGCCUCAAUUGUUUGUCUCUUGCCUUCAGCUUUCCUCAGGUUAGCUUCCGCUAUUUCAAGAGUUUGCUGAGCUUCUUGUGGAUCGAUGUCACUGCUCUUCUCGGCAUCAUUUACUAAAAUAGUGAUUUCAUUAUUGCCUAUUCUAGCAAAACCACCCAUUAGAGCCAUCGUUAACCAUUGGUCAUUAAGGCGUAUUCUCAAAAUACCUAUAUCUACAGCGGUGGCAAUAGGCGCGUGAUUUGGUAAUACGCCAAUUUGCCCACUAUUAGUAGAUAAAAUGAUUUCUUUUACUUCUGAAUCCCAAACAAUUCGAUUAGGAGUCAGUACACAAAGAUUUAAGGUCAUUUCUUCAAUUUGCUCUCCAUUUCUAAUUGCGUAGCCUUCGCAGUAGCUUCAUCGAUGUUACCUACUAAGUAAAAGGCCUGUUCAGGAAGACCAUCUAAUUCUCCGGAAAGGAUCAAUUUAAACCCUCUAAUUGUUUCUGCUAGACCAACGUAUUUCCCCGGAGAACCGGUAAAUACUUCUGCUACGAAAAAGGGUUGUGAUAAGAAACGCUCAAUUUUUCGCGCUCUUGCUACGGUUAAGCGAUCCUCUUCGGAUAAUUCGUCCAACCCAAGGAUAGCUAUAAUGUCCUGAAGUUCUUUAUAACGUUGUAAAGUUUGCUUAACUCUUUGCGCGGUUUCAUAAUGCUCCUCACCAACGAUCCGAGGUUGGAGCAUAGUUGACGUUGAGUCUAAAGGAUCUACCGCCGGAUAGAUACCUUUUGCAGCUAAUCCUCUUGAUAGUACGGUAGUAGCAUCUAAAUGUGCAAAUGUCGUGGCAGGAGCAGGGUCGGUCAAAUCAUCCGCAGGUACAUAAACUGCUUGAAUAGAAGUUAUGGACCCUUCUUUGGUAGAAGUAAUUCUUUCUUGUAAAGAACCCAUUUCGGUACUAAGGGUGGGUUGAUAACCUACAGCAGAAGGCAUUCUACCCAAUAAGGCGGAUACUUCGGAUCCUGCUUGGACGAAACGGAAGAUAUUGUCGAUAAAUAGAAGUACGUCUUGUUCAUUAACAUCUCGGAAAUAUUCCGCCAUAGUUAGGGCAGUCAAACCAACUCUCAUACGAGCUCCCGGCGGUUCAUUCAUCUGACCAUAGACUAGAGCUACUUUUGAUUCGGCAAGAUUUUGUUCAUUAAUGACUCCAGAUUCUUUCAUUUCCAUGUAAAGAUCAUUUCCUUCACGAGUACGUUCGCCUACUCCGCCAAAUACGGAUACACCCCCAUGAGCUUUGG